CUAACUUCAAAAGACGAGUGAUGAAAGCAAUCAAGUGAUGAAAGCAACUCACCAUUCAUUUCACCUACCAAAAGACGAGUGGUACAACUUGUACAUGUGAACUCUUAGCAUUCACAAAUAAUCAAAAAUCCUCAAGCUUGACAACUCAACUAGGGGAGCACUUAUGCCCAACAAGAGUUAUAGUCACCAAUAAAGUCUUAUUGCAAGCCAACAGCAACUUUAGUGCAUGGCAUAUGAAGAUCAAGUUAUUCAGCUCUCUUGCAUCUGCUUCAAACAUUUCCCCUCUGUAACAAUGCAAACACUACAACUCGUAGAAAUCUUCACACUCUUAAUCAAGACAGUGUGAAGCAAAAGCAAUUUAUAGUGCCAACAAGAGCUUCAUCAAAGGAGUUCAACCACAAUUCUCAAAAACUUCACACACUCUUGAUUAAGACAGUGUGAAGCAAAACCAAUUUAUGGUGCCAACAA
rnacentral:lncRNA from 1 species